CUACCUGAUUCAGCGGCGGACGGGUGAGUAAUGCCUAGGAAUCUGCCCGAUAGUGGGGGACAACGUUUCGAAAGGAACGCUAAUACCGCAUACGUCCUACGGGAGAAAGUGGGGGAUCUUCGGACCUCACGCUAUCGGAUGAGCCUAGGUCGGAUUAGCUAGUUGGUGAGGUAAUGGCUCACCAAGGCGACGAUCCGUAACUGGUCUGAGAGGAUGAUCAGUCACACUGGAACUGAGACACGGUCCAGACUCCUACGGGAGGCAGCAGUGGGGAAUAUUGGACAAUGGGCGAAAGCCUGAUCCAGCCAUGCCGCGUGUGUGAAGAAGGUCUUCGGAUUGUAAAGCACUUUAAGUUGGGAGGAAGGGCAGUAAGCUAAUACCUUGCUGUUUUGACGUUACCAACAGAAUAAGCACCGGCUAACUCUGUGCCAGCAGCCGCGGUAAUACAGAGGGUGCAAGCGUUAAUCGGAAUUACUGGGCGUAAAGCGCGCGUAGGUGGUUCAGCAAGUUGGAUGUGAAAUCCCCGGGCUCAACCUGGGAACUGCAUCCAAAACUACUGAGCUAGAGUACGGUAGAGGGUGGUGGAAUUUCCUGUGUAGC
rnacentral:rRNA from 1 species